rnacentral:rRNA from 1 species
AUUGAACGCUGGCGGCAGGCCUAACACAUGCAAGUCGAGCGCGCGGCGGACGGGGGAGUAAUGUAUGGGGAUCUGACCGAUAGAGGGGGAUAACUACUGGAAACGGUGGCUAAUAACGCAUAGUAUCGGUUGAAUCCAUAUGGGCUUAGCUAGUAGGUGGGGCAAAGGCUGACAUAGGCGACGAUCUCUUGCUGGUCUGAGAGGAUGAUCACCCCAGCUGGGACUGAGACCCGGCCCAGACUCCUACGGGAGGCAGCAGUGGUGAAUAUUGCACAAUGGGCGCAAGCCUGAUGCAGCCAUGCCGCGUGUGUGAAGAAGGCCUUAGGAUUGUAAAGUACUUUCAGCGGGGAGGCGUUACCCUCAGUAGAAGCACCGACUAACUCCGUGCCAGCAGCCGCGGUAAUAC